rnacentral:rRNA from 1 species
AUACGUAGGGAGCGAGCGUUAUCCGGAUUUAUUGGGUUUAAAGGGUGCGCAGGCGGCCAUUUAAGUCAGCGGUUAAAUCGUGGGGCUCAACCCCAUUCUGCCGUUGAUACUGGGUGGCUUGAUUGCGGUCGAGGUUGGCGGAAUUCGUUGUGUAGCGGUGAAAUGCAUAGAUAUGACGAAGAACACCGAUUGCGUAGGCAGCUGACCAGACCGCAAAUGACGCUCAUGCACGAAAGUGCGGGGAUCGAACAGGAUUAGAUACCCUGGUAGUCCGCACAGUAAACGAUGAAUACUUGUUUUCGGCGAUAUAAUGUCGGAGGCAAAGCGAAAGCGAUAAGUAUUCCACCUGGGGAGUACGCCGGCAACGGUGAAACUCAAAGGAAUUGACGGGG